rnacentral:rRNA from 1 species
UGCUGGCGGCAGCUACCAUGCAGUCGAGCGGUAACAGAUCCAGCUUGCUGGAUGCUGACGAGCGGCGGACGGGUGAGUAAUGCAUAGGAAUCUGCCCGAUAGUGGGGGAUAACCUGGGGAAACCCAGGCUAAUACCGCAUACGUCCUACGGGAGAAAGGGGGCUUCGGCUCCCGCUAUCGGAUGAGCCUAUGUCGGAUUAGCUAGUUGGUGAGGUAACGGCUCACCAAGGCGACGAUCCGUAGCUGGUCUGAGAGGAUGAUCAGCCACAUCGGGACUGAGACACGGCCCGAACUCCUACGGGAGGCAGCAGUGGGGAAUAUUGGACAAUGGGGGGAACCCUGAUCCAGCCAUGCCGCGUGUGUGAAGAAGGCCCUCGGGUUGUAAAGCACUUUCAGCGAGGAAGAACGCCUAGCGGUUAAUACCCGCUAGGAAAGACAUCACUCGCAGAAGAAGCACCGGCUAACUCCGUGCCAGCAGCCGCGGUAAUACGGAGGGUGCAAGCGUUAAUCGGAAUUACUGGGCGUAAAGCGCGCGUAGGUGGCUUGAUAAGCCGGUUGUGAAAGCCCCGGGCUCAACCUGGGAACGGCAUCCGGAACUGUCAAGCUAGAGUGCAGGAGAGGAAGGUAGAAUUCCCGGUGUAGCGGUGAAAUGCGUAGAGAUCGGGAGGAAUACCAGUGGCGAAGGCGGCCUUCUGGACUGACACUGACACUGAGGUGCGAAAGCGUGGGUAGCAAACAGGAUUAGAUACCCUGGGUAGUCA